rnacentral:rRNA from 1 species
UACGUAGGGUGCGAGCGUUGUCCGGAAUUAUUGGGCGUAAAGAGCUCGUAGGCGGUGUGUCACGUCGGCCGUGAAAACCUGCAGCUUAACUGUGGGCGUGCGGUCGAUACGGGCAUCACUGGAGUUCGGCAGGGGAGACUGGAAUUCCUGGUGUAGCGGUGAAAUGCGCAGAGAUCGGCAGGAACACCCAGGGGGAAACCAGUGGACUGGGCAUGUGCUGACGCUCAGGUGCGAAAGCGUGGGGAGCGAACCGG